rnacentral:rRNA from 1 species
UGGGGAAUAUUGCACAAUGGGCGCAAGCCUGAUGCAGCAACGCCGCGUGAGGGACGACGGCCUUCGGGUUGUAAACCUCUUUUGGCAGGGAAGAAGCGAAAGUGACGGUACCUGCAGAAAAAGCACCGGCUAACUACGUGCCAGCAGCCGCGGUGAUACGUAGGGUGCAAGCGUUGUCCGGAAUUAUUGGGCGUAAAGAGCUCGUAGGCGGUUUGUCGCGUCUGCUGUGAAAACCCGAGGCUCAACCUCGGGCCUGCAGUGGGUACGGGCAAACUAGAGUGCGGUAGGGGAGAUUGGAAUUCCUGGUGUAGCGGUGGAAUGCGCAGAUAUCAGGAGGAACACCGAUGGCGAAGGCAGAUCUCUGGGCCGUAACUGACGCUGAGGCGCGAAAGCGUGGGGAGCAAACA